rnacentral:lncRNA from 13 species
AGGAGCCAUGAGUUGUCCCGACCAACUUCAUACUUGAGUGUGCACAUCUUGAGGAAUAAGCAAAUGACUUAAUAUGCCAAGCCUUGCUGUGCAGUGGAUCCCAUUGAAAAUGAAGAAGAUUGGAAGAAGGCUGUAUCCAACAUCAAUACACUUUUGGACAAAGCUGAUCGAGUGUAUCAUCAGCUGAUGGGACACCAGCCGCAGCUGGAGAAGCUGCUCUGCAAAGUGAAUCAGGCAGCUCCAGAAAAGCCACAGGAUGACUCAGGAACGUAAAUCCAGAGAGAAAGGCACUCUGAUGGUCUUUAUUUUCCAGAUGAAGAAACUAAGGCAAAGCAAGUCUAAGUAUCUCAGCCAAGGUCUCACAUCUGAUACAUGA